rnacentral:SRP_RNA from 1 species
GCCGAGCUUAGUAACGUAAGCUUGUAAUCCUAGUGGAGGCUACAAAGGUAAUAAGACUGUUG